rnacentral:lncRNA from 1 species
CCAUAGUUAAUUCAUUUACUGUCAUAUUUCAGAUUUCUGGGAAAAUGCAUACAUUUUACUUCAAAACAUCCUUACCUUAAUAUUUGACUUAGAAGCUAGUUUUAUUUCCUGUUGAGGUAGGAGUUCUUUGAAAAUAUUAAUCUAGAAUUUCAUAUGUUUUCCGUUUUGCCUGAAUUGUGCUUGGGUUUAUUUAAUAUUUUCAGUUUGGUUUUAGCUAGAGCUGCAUGUCAUAGGCUUGUCUCUAGAGGGCAGUACAGUACCAUCAAAGAAACACAUGGCCUUUUCUGCUAGUAACGCACAAUUGGUGUUUCUAUUUCUAUAAAGAUGACCUUCAUUUGUCGAUGAUAAUGUCUUCUCUUUUCAUUAUUUCCCCUUUUGACCCACUCUUGAGACAUUUGAUCACUAAUUAUAUCCAGCAUCAAAGUGAAGUUUGUAAAACAUCAAAGUAGCUACACGGUGCUGGAUCAGGUCCUGGGUACUACAACAUCUUAGUAGCCAUUACAUUUUAUAUUUUUAUGAUAACAAUAAACGUAGCCUAGAAUAUUAAGAAUUCCUGGUCUUGGACCCACACAUUAUUGGGGCACCUAGUAUAGAAACUGAGUUCUGAAUAGCACUUUAAAUUAACACCGUACAUCUAAAUAUUAACAGUCCCCAGGUAGCAUUUAUUGUUACUUCUCAAUUAAUACACUUUAUUUUACCCUGAGCAUUAUGAUGUUUUGCUAUUAUUGGCAGGUUCAAGAAGAUGCUAGGAACUUGCCAUCCCUUUCCUCCGUCAAGCCGUUUAAACCUCCUGAAAUGCACCUGUGACCCUUUGCUUCUGUUGGUUUUGGCAUCUUGUCUAUUAUGGCCGUGUACCACCUUCAUGUCCAGGGAAAGGAGCAGUAGUGUGCUGUGCAAGAGGCAGAUUUGCUGAGAGCUGUUCAGGGGCUGGAGGAAGCUGAAAAGAUGCAGUUUUAUCUUCAAAGGAAAGGUAAGAUGAUUUUUAAAAAAAUCUUGGUUACUGUCUUAUGUAACUUGAGGGUGAUCAGUGAGGCUUUGGCCUAGUGUUUCUCAAAAGAGUUCCGACUUUGUGUUUCUAAUAAAGGGCAUUGAGUUUUGUGGGUCAACAUAUUUGAAGGCACUGUCUUUACCAUCUUCAGUGUUGAAAACUGCUGGUCAUGUCUCUUUCAUAUUUAGUCUGAUUUCCUGUUAACCAUGAAAGCAAAGUGGUAUAUGGGAUAUUGCAGAAUAUGCUGCUGCUUUUAAUUCUACAUCUUUACUAUUUUGAUUGAUUUUUUUAGAUUUGUUUAUCUUUUUUUUUAAAAUGUGAGGUUGCAUAGUCCAAGGAUUCUGGUUUAUUUUAUGAAUGUUAAACAUUAUUGAAAUCACAUAAUUCUAAUUAGACAACGAAUGUCCAAUUAAACAAUUCCUACACUAUAUAUAGUCUCAAACUUUCCUUUUGGGAAUUUUACUUGGCAUUUUCUUCAUAAAUAUAUUAAUCUUCCUUUUAAGUAGCUUUCAAGUUUUGUGAUAUGAAGGCUCCACCAUCAAAUUAUUCUUUAAUAUUGGAAUUAUAUCAAUCAAUACAUGUCUUUAAAGUGCUGAAUUUUAUGGAGCAUCCAUAUAUCAAACUCAGGGCUGUAGAUGGACAUCCUUUCAUUGAUCACAGCUUGAACCUGAGCAGAGGAUGAUGGACAGAAACAUGACUUAAGAAGUGAUAAAUCUGUUGUAGCAGACUUAUGAUCUUUUGGCCUCAACCUUACAAAUGCUAUUGGUCACAAUUGUGGCUAAAUUGAUUAGUUAUUGUCCUCAGGUUUACAACUCUGACUCUAAACUCAUAUUAAGCUGAAAAAUUUAAAUAUCUUGUUUCCAGGAGUCUUCAUUUUUGGUAUCAGUAAAUAAUCCACAUUUAUUUCCUUUUUGAGUGCUUUCUCUGUACUUCCUUCCUAAAUGAGGGCACUGGACUGACUUUCUUCUGAAUAGGUAUAGAAUUUUGGCCCUUAGUAUUUUUGUCAACACUGCUCUAAUUAAGAAUAACAACAGGUGAUGUGAAUGUUGGCUGGAAAUCAAGAUUCAGAAGAGUUUUCCUGCAAAGAAAAAUCUGAAGUUCAUGAUGCAAUGCAUUGUGAAACCAGUGUUGAACCUGGUUAAAUCAAAUUACACUGUGCUCAUGGCCGUAGUGUAUAAUAUAGUACUGCUCACACUGGCCUUAUUUUCCAUUUUCUUCCAUUGAAAUACCAUCCCAAACUGAAAAUAUCACAAAGAACUACAUUCAAGAUACCUAUUUGGAUGGAAAAUGGCACCUUUAGCUGCAUCUUUUUGUAGUGACUUAUAGGGUUCAGUGACUGAAAUGUAUUUUUUUUCUUCUUUCUUUUUCUGCUUUGUUGUAUUCAUGCUUGGAAGCACUGCCUGCAAAUGACAAAACCAUAGGAGAAUAACCUAUAUUAUAUAGGCUUCCCUAUGUCAUUGAGAACAAGAGAGGAUGUUAUUAAGAAAGUGUUGAUUUUUGUAGUAAUUCACCCAAGUUUAAGUUCUAUUGAUAGGUACUGUAGUGUUUAGGAAAAAAAAGAGAGAGGAAGAGACAAGAUGCUUACAUAAAACACAAUUUUGAGUUUUAUUUUACAUUGUAUAAAGUAGAAGAAUAAGGGCCCAGGGAUUUCAAUUCCAGAAAUGUAAAAAUCAAAAAGGUAAAGUAAUGAAGUUGACUCUAUUUUAAUCACAAAUGGAGGUGAUACAUAAGUUACAAUCAAAAUUUUAAAAUGAAUUCAUUUUAAUAUGCCUAAACUUUAUUUGACAAGCUAUUUAACAUAGACUAUGAGCCAGGCACUA